rnacentral:rRNA from 1 species
AACGAACGCUGGCGGCAGGCUUAACACAUGCAAGUCGAACGCCCCGCAAGGGGAGUGGCAGACGGGUGAGUAACGCGUGGGAAUCUACCCAGUUCUACGGAACAACAGUUGGAAACGACUGCUAAUACCGUAUGCGCCCUACGGGGGAAAGAUUUAUCGGAAUUGGAUGAGCCCGCGUAAGAUUAGCUAGUUGGUGGGGUAAUGGCCUACCAAGGCGACGAUCUUUAGCUGGUCUGAGAGGAUGAUCAGCCACACUGGGACUGAGACACGGCCCAGACUCCUACGGGAGGCAGCAGUGGGGAAUAUUGGACAAUGGGCGCAAGCCUGAUCCAGCCAUGCCGCGUGAGUGAUGAAGGCCUUAGGGUUGUAAAGCUCUUUCACCGAUGAAGAUAAUGACGGUAGUCGGAGAAGAAGCCCCGGCUAACUUCGUGCCAGCAGCCGCGGUAACAC